rnacentral:rRNA from 1 species
GACGAACGCUGGCGGCGUGCUUAACACAUGCAAGUCGAACGGAAAGGCCCUGCUUUUGUGGGGUGCUCGAGUGGCGAACGGGUGAGUAACACGUGAGUAACCUGCCCUUGACUUUGGGAUAACUUCAGGAAACUGGGGCUAAUACCGGAUAGGAGCUCCUGCUGCAUGGUGGGGGUUGGAAAGUUUCGGCGGUUGGGGAUGGACUCGCGGCUUAUCAGCUUGUUGGUGGGGUAGUGGCUUACCAAGGCUUUGACGGGUAGCCGGCCUGGGAGGGUGACCGGCCACAUUGGGACUGAGAGACGGCCCAGACUCCUACGGGAGGCAGCAGUGGGGAAUAUUGCACAAUGGGCGGAAGCCUGAUGCAGCAACGCCGCGUGCGGGAUGACGGCCUUCGGGGUGUAAACCGCUUUCGCCUGUGACGAAGCGUGAGUGACGGUAAUGGGUAAAGAAGCACCGGCUAACUACGUG